rnacentral:rRNA from 1 species
GACGAACGCUGGCGGCGUGCUUAACACAUGCAAGUCGAACGAUGAAGAAGAGCUUGCUCUUCGGAUUAGUGGCGAACGGGUGAGUAACACGUGACUAACCUGCCCCUUUCUCUGGGAUAACGCUCCGAAAGGAGUGCUAAUACCGGAUACUCACAUCGAGGCACAUGCCUUGAUGUGGAAAGUUUUUCGGAAAGGGAUGGAGUCGCGGCCUAUCAGCUUGUUGGUGAGGUAACGGCACACCAAGGCGACGACGGGUAGCCGGCCUGAGAGGGCGACCGGCCACACUGGGACUGAGACACGGCCCAGACUCCUACGGGAGGCAGCAGUGGGGAAUAUUGCACAAUGGGCGAAAGCCUGAUGCAGCGACGCCGCGUGAGGGAUGAAGGUCUUCGGAUUGUAAACCUCUUUCAGUAGGGACGAAGCGAAAGUGACGGUACCUAAAGAAGAAGCACCGGCUAACUACGUGCCAGCAGCCGCCGCCG